rnacentral:sRNA from 1 species
ACAUGGCUUCCUUGCUCCUGUCCUUGCUGAUCUAGCAUGUCCGUUGGGUUGCCCUGUGCCAAAUCUUGUUCUGACCUGCUGUCUCAGAUACCAGAAAAGAAAGCUCUAGGAUAAGCACCCUCUCUCCCUCCCUCCUCCCUGACACAGGUCAGAUCCUUUAAGAACACACUGAGAAGAGGAUUAUUUAAAAUUCCUUCUCUGAAUGGACACUUGUGUCUGAACACCUGUUCUCAUCCCUUCUCUUCCAGGAGCCCCAGCCCGGUUCCUCACUGCAUACCACCAGAUACCCAGACAGCCUCCUCUGAGGGGCUCAGACAAAAGAUUGAUGUGGAGGUGGCCACACUUCAGCCACCUUCUUGAAGGAGUGGAGUUGUAUCAUCUUUAUCUGAAUACCUGGGGUUAAUUCAAGGGACCCACAACACAUUCUCCCUUACAGAUGCACUCUGGCUAGCUCACAGUUCUCCCGAUGGUCCAACUGCAAAAAGAUCCACACAGAGGACCAUCUUCCCAGGAUUAAAAACCCUGGGAAGAUGGUCCCAUCUCUCCAGAAUGUGUUCUUCCCACCCCAUGUGCAGAAAUAUCAAGUGGUGGAACCCAACCCACAAUUCUGUGGACCUAACUUUGACCCAGAAACCACCCCCUCCCCCCGGGGCACAUAUCCUAGACUAAGGAAGCUCCGAAGGGCUUUGUUGGAAAAUCAGCGGAGGAGUCUCGUUCCUCAGUGUAGUCUAAACCCAAUCACAGACAAACAUAGUGCCCUGAGCAGGAACUCUGAGAGCAGAGAGGCAGAGCCGAGAACUUCUCCUGGCAUCAUGGCUGCUUCUGGUCACUUCACUGACUUGUGCUGCCCCAGCUCCAACACCUGGAAACCAAAGUCAACAAAACAGGCUGAAGUCAAGAAGAGUGAAGAGACCCUCAUGAGGCUAGACCCUCCUUCUCCAUGGUGACCCGUGUGAGAAAGUCAUUUGACCCCUCAAAAGGGUUGCAACCAACAGGCUGAGAACCACUGCUGUAGCAUCUUUCAAUAAUCACAAAAGCUUUGCUAAAUUAGAUGAAUGAACACGACUGACAAGAAGCUGGUGCUGGAUGUGAAAAUGAUCUGGCUGCCACAUCUGUCGCCCCAGUGAUCACCAGGGUUGAUUUGGGUGGUCUGGCUGGCUAGGCCGGUGUCCUCACUGCUCCAUGCCUGUUUCUCCUGAAGCUACGCUCUCCUUCCCCAAACAGAGGAGGACCAGUCUUUGGUCAAGGGUAUUCGAGUAGCUGGCCUCCCCAUUGGAACUUCCAAACAAGCUCUGAAGAAGUUGGUGCUGCUCUUAGGUCACUCCUAAAGCAGCAGAGCUUUGAGGAGAUGGGAUUCAAUGACAGUAAGUCUCAGGAGCAGAAGACAAUACUUGCGGGGACUGGUAUGGAGCUUUGAAAAACCCAGAGUACCCAGAAGGAAGCUGGCCUGUGUUCAAGGGCUGCCUUCUCUCCUUGAAGCAGCACUGGAGGAGGUAAGAAAAAUGUGUCCUUCUGUUUUGCAUGAUGGAUGUGGCCCCUGCAUAUUUGUUCCUGACCAAGGUGUGAGCUUGCUGUGAUGUUUCUUCUGUCAACAGCUUCCCGGACUCAGAGUUUACCUCUAACUGUUCUGACCACCGGAUCUGAUGUAAUAGAGACUCAAAUGCCUUUUAGGUGUGGAUAAUAUUAAAGUAGUUUUAUGCUGUUAUACUUUAUUGAAAGGCUGGGUCUGUAAUUGGGUUAUGGUUUGCUUCAGACCCAGGCAUGAUUUUAAAAUCUGUGUCUGAAGUCAAGAGCUGAAACAGGAAAAGGAAGGAAGGAAGGAAGGAAGGAAGGAAGGAAGGAAGGAAGGAAGGAAGGAAGACAGCUAAAGGGAUUAUUGGCUUUUAAGUUUAUUGGGUACAGUUAAAAUCUAUAUCUGUAAAAAAAGUUAGUUUAAAACUCAUAGCACGGGUUGAAAAUUAAGUCUGGCAUAGGUGAUCUUAAAGGAGCCAUGUGGAAUAAUUCCAUCUUGGGAUAUAAGCAACAAGUGGUGUGGUGGCUUAAAUAAAAAUCACCCUCAUACACCCACAGAGUGGCACUAUGAGGAGGUGUUUGCCUUGGAGUGGGCGUGGUCUUGAAGGAGGAAGUACGUCAGUUUGGGGGGUGGGCUUUAAGGUCUCAGAAGCUCAAACUAGUUUUCACCAUGCUACACGUGGAUCCAGUGGUAGAACUCUCAGCUUUCUCCAGCACCAUGUCAGCCUGCAUGCCUCGACGUUCCCCACCAGGCCCAUAAUGUAUUAAACCUCUGAAGCUAUAAGCCAGGCCCAAUUAAAUGAUUUUUUUUUUUUAAAUAGGAGUUGGCGUGGUCAUGGUGUUUCUUCACAGCAAUAGGAACCCUAAUUAAGGCAUGUGGCUUGCCGCCAUCUUUAGGCUGCCACGUGGCUGGUUGCCAUCUUUGCUAGGUACAGUUGGCGAAGAUGGAUGUCAUAUGGUUUCACCACCAUCUUGAUUAAGGGCAACCAAAUGGUAUAAACCAACCCAGAAGUCAACAGAACUCUAAAGAUACUUUUAAAUUGGGAUAGACUUUUGGUAUGAUAAUUCCUGCCCUAUCUUAAAACAAGGUUCGUGAGAGAUAGAAUUUUAAAAAAACAGCUUAGUAAGUAUUAAAGCUGCACCUCCAUGUGUUCAUGUUUAAGAACAUGCCUUGAUGGCAGCCAAACUUUGUAACGUCAGAGUCACCCAGACGAUAGUGAUCGUAGAUAUGUUUGACUUUCGCACUGUUGCAGCUUGGUUUUGCCUUGUACAGAUAGCGUUGUGCCCUGACUCUUCACUUUUGGCAUUAAAAAAAAAAGUGGGGUUUUUUUGGGGGGGAUUAUUGCAAGAGCACACAGUAGGGAUUCUAAACUUCUUUUUUAAAAAAAUUGGGGUUUCACAGAAGCUUUGUAAAAUAUUUAGGUUCAUAAGGCAGUGGGACCUUUUAAAUUUAUAAGAUAUUUAUUAUAAUGUUUUUAUUAAUAUGUGAUCCUAACAAAUAGAUCAUUAAGAUGUUAAAAAUGAGGGCCACCCCUGUGGUGACCAAACAUAGCAUUUGCAUGUCGGGGUUCGCACCGCAGUUCAUAGAUAGCAGUGGCAAACUUGCAGCUGUAACGUAGCAACGGAGUGAUUUUAUGGUUGGGGGUCAGCACAGCAUGGGGAACUGGGUCGAAGGGUUGAAUUGGAAAAGUUUAGAGCCAAUGGCUUAAAAAUGUCUCUCCUUAGGG